rnacentral:rRNA from 1 species
UCAGGUGGCCGCAGAGAAUAGGCCCAAGCGACUGUUUACCAAAAACAUAGGUUUCUGCUAAGUCGCAAGACGAUGUAUAGGAGCUGACGCCUGCCCGGUGCUGGAAGGUUAAGGGGAUCUGUUAGAGCAAUCGAAGCAGUGAACUUAAGCCCCAGUAAACGGCGGCCGUAACUAUAACGGUCCUAAGGUAGCGAAAUUCCUUGUCGGGUAAGUUCCGACCCGCACGAAAGGCGUAACGAUUUGGGCACUGUCUCAACAACAGACUCGGUGAAAUUGUAAUUCCGGUGAAGAUGCCGGAUACCUGCGACAGGACGGAAAGACCCCAUGGAGCUUUACUGUAGCUUGACAUUGGGUCUUGGUACUACAUGUACAGGAUAGGUGGGAGGCUUUGAAACCAGGACGCCAGUUUUGGCGGAGCCAUCCUUGGGAUACCACCCUUGUAGUACUGGGACUCUAACCAUAGGCCAUGAAUCUGGUCUUGGGACACUGUCAGGUGGGCAGUUUGACUGGGGCGGUCGCCUCCCAAAAGGUAACGGAGGCGCUCAAAGGUUCUCUCAGUACGGUCGGAAAUCGUACGUAGAGUGUAAAGGCAAAAGAGAGCUUGAUUGCAAGACAUACAGGUCGAGCAAGGAUGAAAAUCGGACUUAGUGAUCCGGUGGUUCUGCGUGGAAGGGCCAUCGCUCAACGGAUAAAAGCUACCCUGGGGAUAACAGGCUUAUCUCCCCCAAGAGUCCACAUCGACGGGGAGGUUUGGCACCUCGAUGUCGGCUCAUCACAUCCUGGGGC